CCUACGGGAGGCAGCAGUAGGGAAUCUUCCGCAAUGGACGAAAGUCUGACGGAGCAACGCCGCGUGAGCGAUGAAGGCCUUCGGGUCGUAAAGCUCUGUUGUCAGGGAAGAACAAGUACCGGAGUAACUGCCGGUACCUUGACGGUACCUGACCAGAAAGCCACGGCUAACUACGUGCCAGCAGCCGCGGUAAUACGUAGGUGGCAAGCGUUGUCCGGAAUUAUUGGGCGUAAAGCGCGCGCAGGCGGUUCCUUAAGUCUGAUGUGAAAGCCCACGGCUCAACCGUGGAGGGUCAUUGGAAACUGGGGGACUUGAGUGCAGAAGAGGAAAGCGGAAUUCCACGUGUAGCGGUGAAAUGCGUAGAGAUGUGGAGGAACACCAGUGGCGAAGGCGGCUUUCUGGUCUGUAACUGACGCUGAGGCGCGAAAGCGUGGGGAGCAAACAGGAUUAGAUACCCUGGUAGUCCACGCCGUAAACGAUGAGUGCUAAGUGUUAGGGGGUUUCCGCCCCUUAGUGCUGCAGCUAACGCAUUAAGCACUCCGCCUGGGGAGUACGGCCGCAAGGCUGAAACUCAAAGGAAUUGACGG
rnacentral:rRNA from 1 species